rnacentral:lncRNA from 1 species
GGAGGAGGAAGGAGCAGUCAGUGUUUUGCUUUCUGAUUACUAACACCUCGCCCUGUUAUGACCAGGAGUGGUCAAGAUAAAGAACAUGUCCAUCUCUACAAGGUGCCCUCAGGUUCCACACACACACUUCUCUCCACCCUCCACCUCUUCAGCUCUGGACAGCGGUUGGCCUUCUCUAUUUCUAGAACAUCUGCCAUUUCUGGAGUGGAAACAUACAACACGUGACUUUUGGGGACUGGCUUUGCUCAUGGCAUGACUGUCAGGAGGUUCACCAGGUGGGUGCUGGCUAGAACCUGGGGUCGUGGAUGUCCUGCGGCUUCAUCACUCACCUGCUGAAGGACAUCAGGCUCGUUUCCAGUUUGGAACCCUGAUGAAUAAAACUGCUUCACACAUUUUUAUACCGUUUUCAUGGGAAUGUGUCUAUUUUUCUGGGAACACAGUCGGUGGGUCGCACUCCCACCAGCAACGUGUGGGUGGCCCUGUCCCUUCACAUCCUCACGGGUGUUGACUGGUCACACCUUUUACCUCAGCCAUACCUACACGUCCCUUGUGGUUUGAAUUUGCAUGUCCUAGUCGCUAGGGAGCCACUAACCAUGCCGAACCCCUUUGCCCGCAUUUCCUUGUCACGUGCAUUUCCUCUUUGGUAAAAUGUUUGUUCAUGUCUUUUAUCCAUUUCCCAAUUGGACUGUUUAGAAUUUCAAGAGUUUUAAAAAUUUAUUUUAAAACAGUCUUUGGUUAGAUAUAUGAUCUGCAAACAUUUUCUCCCACUAUGUAGCUUGUCUUUCCAUCCUUUUAACAGGGUCUACAACAAAGGAAAUGAAAAAAAAAAUUUAUGGGGCUGGGAUUG